GAAUGAUGAAGCGAGUGGGAAUGAUACUGAGUUUUAGACACCUGUGAAACGCUCAGUGGAGAGCCACCAGGAAGGUGUACAGACACGUCAGAAGAGCUACCUGGGAAAGAGAUGGACACAGUCAGUAGAAAAGAUGGUUGAGAUUAUGCAAAGACGCUGAGCAUGGAAAGGAGCUGAGGGUUCAUGGAAGGUUUGAGGAGGAAAGCACUGUGUGAGACAGCUAAUUGGGACAAAGUUCAGGAGGGAAUGAAGAUAAUCAACAGAGCAAGAUUUCUGAGAAGGCAGAAGAUGGGAAGUCGGAACAUAGACAAAGAGUCAGUCGUAAACAAGAGACGUAAAAAUUCUCACACAAUCACUGUAGAAGAGGAGAAAAAAGUGGGGAUGGUAUUUUCUUGGCCAUUUCCUAACCACUAAACUCAUUGGAAAACACUCUGAUGCUGGUAGGAAUUGGGGGCGGGAGGAGAAGGGGAUGACAGAGGAUGAGAUGGCUGGAUGGCAUCACUGACUUGAUGGACGUGAGUCUGAGUGAACUCCGGGAGUUGGUGAUGGACAGGGAGGCCUGGCGUGCUGCAAUUCAUGGGGUGGCAAAGAGUCAGACACGACUGAGCGACUGAAUUGAACUGAACUGAAACCUGAAUUUGUUUUUGCUAGGUAUUCAUCUGUCAUAACGGAGAAGGCAAUGGCACCCCACUCCAGUACUCUUGCCUGGAAAAUCCCAUGGAUGGAGGAGCCUGGUGGGCUUCAGUCCAUGGGGUUGCUGAGGGUCGGACACGACUGAGCGACUUCACUUUCACUUUUCACUUUCAUGCAUUGGAGAAGGAAAUGGCAAUCCACUCCAGUGUUCUUGCCUGGAGAAUCCCAGGGACGGGGGAGCCUGUUGGGCUGCCAUCUAUGGGGUCGCACAGAGUCAGACACGACUGAAGUGACUUGGCAGUAGCAGCAUCUCUCAUAAAAGCGCUAAACACCAGGAAUCCUUUAAAAACUCCAUUGACUUCAAUCUAGGAAGAAAUGUAUAGUGUUCAUAUAACAUUCUUUCCGAACAAUCGUAAUUUAAGUUUCAGUUUUCUUCUUGACCCAAAAAUUAUAAAGAAGGUUGUUCUUUUACCACGAUGGUUAGUUUUAGGUUUUUUUUUUUUUUUUUAAUUAUUAUCAGUUCCCUUUCAUUUUUAAUUUCUAACUUGCAUUUUACUGUAUUAAGAGAAUGUGACCUUUAUAAUCUCUUUUUGGAGAAUGAAUUCAUAUUUUCUUUGGUACAUGGUAUUUAAUCAAUUUUGUAAAG
rnacentral:lncRNA from 1 species